AUUGAACGCUGGCGGCAGGCUUAACACAUGCAAGUCGAGCGGGGGAAGGUAGCUUGCUACUGGACCUAGCGGCGGACGGGUGAGUAAUGCUUAGGAAUCUGCCUAUUAGUGGGGGACAACAUCUCGAAAGGGAUGCUAAUACCGCAUACGUCCUACGGGAGAAAGCAGGGGAUCUUCGGACCUUGCGCUAAUAGAUGAGCCUAAGUCGGAUUAGCUAGUUGGUGGGGUAAAGGCCUACCAAGGCGACGAUCUGUAGCGGGUCUGAGAGGAUGAUCCGCCACACUGGGACUGAGACACGGCCCAGACUCCUACGGGAGGCAGCAGUGGGGAAUAUUGGACAAUGGGGGGAACCCUGAUCCAGCCAUGCCGCGUGUGUGAAGAAGGCCUUAUGGUUGUAAAGCACUUUAAGCGAGGAGGAGGCUACUUUAGUUAAUACCUAGAGAUAGUGGACGUUACUCGCAGAAUAAGCACCGGCUAACUCUGUGCCAGCAGCCGCGGUAAUACAGAGGGUGCGAGCGUUAAUCGGAUUUACUGGGCGUAAAGCGUGCGUAGGCGGCUUAUUAAGUCGGAUGUGAAAUCCCCGAGCUUAACUUGGGAAUUGCAUUCGAUACUGGUGAGCUAGAGUAUGGGAGAGG
rnacentral:rRNA from 1 species